rnacentral:rRNA from 1 species
GAUGAACGCUGGCGGCGUGCCUAACACAUGCAAGUCGAACGGAGUUAUGAUGUGAGCGGGAAGUGCUUGCACUAAACAAUCUUUUCAUAACUUAGUGGCGGACGGGUGAGUAACGCGUGGGUAACCUGCCCUGUACUGGGGGACAACAGUUGGAAACGACUGCUAAUACCGCAUAAGCGCACGGGAUCGCAUGAUCUAGUGUGAAAAACUCCGGUGGUACAGGAUGGACCCGCGUCUGAUUAGCUGGUUGGUGAGGUAACGGCCCACCAAGGCAACGAUCAGGAGCCGGCCUGAGAGGGUGAAUGGCCACAUCGGGACUGAGACACGGCCCAAACUCCUACGGGAGGCAGCAGUGGGGAAUAUUGCACAAUGGGGGAAACCCUGAUGCAGCGACGCCGCGUGAGUGAAGAAGUAUUUCGGUAUGUAAAGCUCUAUCAGCAGGGAAGAAAAUGACGGUACCUGACUAAGAAGCCCCGGCUAACUACGUGCCAGCCGCCGCAGUAAUAC